rnacentral:rRNA from 1 species
CAGCCGCCACGGUAAUACGUAGGUGGCAAGCGUUGUCCGGAAUUAUUGGGCGUAAAGGGCUCGCAGGCGGUUUCUUAAGUCUGAUGUGAAAGCCCCCGGCUCAACCGGGGAGGGUCAUUGGAAACUGGGAAACUUGAGUGCAGAAGAGGAGAGUGGAAUUCCACGUGUAGCGGUGAAAUGCGUAGAGAUGUGGAGGAACACCAGUGGCGAAGGCGACUCUCUGGUCCGUAACUGACGCUGAGGAGCGAAAGCGUGGGGAGUGAACAGGAUUAGAUACCCCAGUAGUCCCUGUCUCUUAUAC